rnacentral:rRNA from 1 species
UACGAAGGGGGCGAGCGUUGUUCGGAUUUACUGGGCGUAAAGGGCGCGCAGGCGGCUCAUUUUGUCAGGCGUGAAAGCCCCGGGCUCAACCUGGGAACGGCGCGCGAAACGGGGGGGGCUGGAGUUCGGGAGAGGAGCGUGGAAUUCCCAGUGUAGAGGUGAAAUUCGUAGAUAUUGGGAAGAACACCGGUGGCGAAAGGCGGCGCUCUGGGACCGAGACUGACGCUGAGGCGCGAAAGCGUGGGGAGGCAAAACAGGAUUGAGAAACCCUAGGU